CAGCCGCCGCGGUAACACGAAGGGGGCUAGCGUUGCUCGGAAUCACUGGGCGUAAAGGGUGCGUAGGCGGGUCUUCAAGUCAGGGGUGAAAUCCUGGAGCUCAACUCCAGAACUGCCUUUGAUACUGAAGAUCUUGAGUUCGGGAGAGGUGAGUGGAACUGCGAGUGUAGAGGUGAAAUUCGUAGAUAUUCGCAAGAACACCAGUGGCGAAGGCGGCUCACUGGCCCGAUACUGACGCUGAGGCACGAAAGCGUGGGGAGCAAACAGGAUUAGAUACCCGUGUAGUCCCUGUCUCUUAUAC
rnacentral:rRNA from 1 species